rnacentral:rRNA from 1 species
UACGGAGGGUGCAAGCGUUGUCCGGAUUUAUUGGGUUUAAAGGGUGCGUAGGCGGCCCUGUAAGUCAGUGGUGAAAUACUGCAGCUUAACUGUAGCAUUGCCAUUGAUACUGUAGGGCUUGAGUACAGAUGAGGUAGGCGGAAUUGAUGGCGUAGCGGUGAAAAUGCAUAGAUACCAUCAAGAACACCGAUUGCGAAGGCAGCUUACUAAGCUGUAACUGACGCUGAGGCACGAAAGCGUGGGGAUCGAACAGG